rnacentral:rRNA from 1 species
GACGAACGCUGGCGGCGUGCCUAAUACAUGCAAGUCGAACGCACAGUUUAUACCGUAGCUUGCUACACCAUAAACUGUGAGUUGCGAACGGGUGAGUAACGCGUAGGUAACCUGCCUGGUAGCGGGGGAUAACUAUUGGAAACGAUAGCUAAUACCGCAUAAUAUUAAUUAUUGCAUGAUAAUUGAUUGAAAGAUGCAAUUGCAUCACUACCAGAUGGACCUGCGUUGUAUUAGCUAGUAGGUGAGGUAACGGCUCACCUAGGCGACGAUACAUAGCCGACCUGAGAGGGCGAUCGGCCACACUGGGACUGAGACACGGCCCAGACUCCUACGGGAGGCAGCAGUAGGGAAUCUUCGGCAAUGGACGAAAGUCUGACCGAGCAACGCCGCGUGAGUGAAGAAGGUUUUCGGAUCGUAAAGCUCUGUUGUAAGAGAAGAACGGGUGUGAGAGUGGAAAGUUCACACUGUGACGGUAUCUUACCAGAAAGGGACGGCUAACUACGUG